rfam:Gossypium arboreum cultivar AKA8401 contig_112704_1, whole genome shotgun sequence.
AUUCCGUGGUGAGGGCAUUUUCGUAAUAGCUCUUUGUAUCAUUCCCAUGCCUCAUACAAGGAUUCAUCCUCCAUUUUUUUGAAGGUAGUGAUCUCGUUCCUCAACUU